UUCUCUCUAUCUCUCUGUAUAUAUAUGUGUCUGUGUGUAUAUAUAUAUGUCUGUGUGUGUAUAUAUGUGUGUGUGUGUGUGUGUGUAUAUAUAUAUAUAUAUAUAUAUAAAUGAUACCUUCUCGUGUGGAUGAUAAAUUAUUGAAUUGUUGAAAUGAUACCUUCUCGUGUGGAUGAUAAAUUAUUGAACUGUUGAAAAUAUAUAAAUGAUACCUUCUCGUGUGGAUGAUAAAUUAUUGAAUUGUUGAAAUGAUACCUUCUCGUGUGGAUGAUAAAUUAUUGAACUGUUGAAAUCCUCAUGGCGUGUUGUGACUCUGGAUUACGAGUUGAUAAGGAUGGGUAGAGGCUAGUAGGGCUUUUACACUGUUUGGAUGGUUGUUAUACAUUGUUCAUAAUGUAUUGUAUUAUAUUGUCUUGUAUUGUAUUGUAACGUGCUAUAUUAUAUUGUUUUGAUGAAUGCAACAUUCAGAUAGGUUGUAUUGUUUUCCAUCGUGCAUAAUAUCACACGCAGUGUUGUAAUAGGCGCUCGCCACGUCGCCAAUGGCGAAUGGCGAGGCGAGGCAUAGUCGCCUUUUGUGAGAAAGGAGACAAGGCGACAAUGCAAAUUAAAAAGGUGACGCCUUUGCGAGAAAGGCGAAAAUGGUGUCGCCUUUUUAAUUUUUUUUUUAAAAUUAGGGCUUUAGGGAUAAAAGCUAAUUUUAGGGCUUAUUUUCCUAUUUUGGCUCCACCAACUUACUCGAUUGGCAACUGCGACUGCUACCAUUAUCAUCUCACAAGUUCGACUUCGACUCCGACAACCGGCGACGGCUACUCCGGUAAGGAUUGAUUUCUAUUAUUUUUUUCUUCUUUCUUCUUCUUCUUAAUCCGGCGACUGAACUCCAACUACUGUUUUUUUUGCUUCCUCUUUUUCUCUUCUUCUAUUUUUCUUCCUCUGAAACAGUAAUACAGUGUUACACUGUCACUGUAACAAUAAGCAUAAAUGUAUUAUGUAAAAAAAUCUUUUUUUUAAUAACUUAUAUAACAUAGUAUGAUAGUAAUAUACUAAUUAAAUGGCUUGAUCAUUUACAACUAUUUCAAUUUCAAUGGCGUUUUAGUAUUGCUUGUUUUAUGGAUAUGGAAUUGUUGAGUCGUUCAAGUUCUAGACUUUUAGUAUCUAUCUACUAUCUAUUUUUAAUUCUUUUUUUCUUUUGACUUGCACCGGGUGUCCGAGACUCUUUGAGUCCCGACUAAUCCCGGGGGUGCACAGGCCCUCGGCAAGGAGUUUUCCCGCAAGUGCACCACGGGUAAUUCAGGGUUUCACCCAGUUCGAUGGCCCUCAAAAAUUGUUUGCACCCAAUGGGAAUCGAACUUGAGACCUUGAAAGGGAGCACCCCAAAGCUCAAGCCAAUUACCACCAG
rnacentral:lncRNA from 1 species